rnacentral:rRNA from 1 species
GAUGAACGCUGGCGGCGUGCCUAAUACAUGCAAGUCGAGCGAACAGAAGAGGAGCUUGCUCCUCUGACGUUAGCGGCGGACGGGUGAGUAACACGUGGAUAACCUACCUAUAAGACUGGGAUAACUUCGGGAAACCGGAGCUAAUACCGGAUAAUAUAUUGAACCGCAUGGUUCAAUAGUGAAAGACGGUUUUGCUGUCACUUAUAGAUGGAUCCGCGCCGCAUUAGCUAGUUGGUAAGGUAACGGCUUACCAAGGCAACGAUGCGUAGCCGACCUGAGAGGGUGAUCGGCAAAACUGGAAGUGAGACACGGACCAGACGCCUACGGGAGGCAGCAGUAGGGAAUCUUCCGCAAUGGGCGAAAGCGUGACGGAGCAACGCCGCGUGAGUGAUGAAGGUCUUCGGAUCGUAAAACUCUGUUAUUAGGGAAGAACAAAUGUGUAAGUAACUAUGCACGUCUUGACGGUACCUAAUCAGAAAGCCACGGCUAACUACGUG